CAAACACAGGUGCUAACAGAAAAGGGUACCUUGUCACCUUUGGAGGACUUUCUGUGCUCUUCAAUGUGAAUUUAGAGGUUCUACACAC
rnacentral:snoRNA from 1 species